GAUGAACGCUGGCGGCGUGCCUAAUACAUGCAAGUCGAGCGAACAGACGAGGAGCUUGCUCCUUUGACGUUAGCGGCGGACGGGUGAGUGACACGUGGAUAACCUACCUAUAAGACUGGGAUAACUUCGGGAAACCGGAGCUAAUACCGGAUAACAUGUUGAACCGCAUGGUUCAACAGUGAAAGACGGUCUUGCUGUCACUUAUAGAUGGAUCCGCGCCGCAUUAGCUAGUUGGUAAGGUAACGGCUUACCAAGGCAACGAUGCGUAGCCGACCUGAGAGGGUGAUCGGCCACACUGGAACUGAGACACGGUCCAGACUCCUACGGGAGGCAGCAGUAGGGAAUCUUCCGCAAUGGGCGAAAGCCUGACGGAGCAACGCCGCGUGAGUGAAGAAGGUCUUCGGAUCGUAAAACUCUGUUAUUAGGGAAGAACAAAUGUGUAAGUAACUAUGCACGUCUUGACGGUACCUAAUCAGAAAGCCACGGCUAACUACGUGCCAGCAGCCGCGGUAAUACGUAGGUGGCAAGCGUUAUCCGGAAUUAUUGGGCGUAAAGCGCGCGUAGGCGGUUUUUUAAGUCUGAUGUGAAAGCCCACGGCUCAACCGUGGAGGGUCAUUGGAAACUGGAAAACUUGAGUGCAGAAGAGGAAAGUGGAAUUCCAUGUGUAGCGGUGAAAUGCGCAGAGAUAUGGAGGAACACCAGUGGCGAAGGCGACUUUCUGGUCUGUAACUGACGCUGAUGUGCGAAAGCGUGGGGAUCAAACAGGAUUAGAUACCCUGGUAGUCCACGCCGUAAACGAUGAGUGCUAAGUGUUAGGGGGUUUCCGCCCCUUAGUGCUGCAGCUAACGCAUUAAGCACUCCGCCUGGGGAGUACGACCGCAAGGUUGAAACUCAAAGGAAUUGACGGGGACCCGCACAAGUGGUGGAGCAUGUGGUUUAAUUCGAAGCAACGCGAAGAACCUUACCAAAUCUUGACAUCCUCUGACCCCUCUAGAGAUAGAGUUUUCCCCUUCGGGGGACAGAGUGACAGGUGGUGCAUGGUUGUCGUCAGCUCGUGUCGUGAGAUGUUGGGCUAAGUCCCGCAACGAGCGCAACCCUUAAGCUUAGUUGCCAUCAUUAAGUUGGGCACUCUAAGUUGACUGCCGGUGACAAACCGGAGGAAGGUGGGGAUGACGUCAAAUCAUCAUGCCCCUUAUGAUUUGGGCUACACACGUGCUACAAUGGACAAUACAAAGGGUAGCGAAACCGCGAGGUCAAGCAAAUCCCAUAAAGUUGUUCUCAGUUCGGAUUGUAGUCUGCAACUCGACUACAUGAAGCUGGAAUCGCUAGUAAUCGUAGAUCAGCAUGCUACGGUGAAUACGUUCCCGGGUCU
rnacentral:rRNA from 1 species